GGAAGGAGAAGUCGUAACAAGGUUACCGUAGGUGAACCUGCGGUAGGAUCAUUG
rnacentral:ncRNA from 16 species